GCCCGCCUAGCUCAAUCGGAUAGAGCGUCAGACUUUUACGACUGUUCGAUUAUUUAGGCGUUCAAGGAUCUGAAGGCUGCGAGUUCGACCCUCGCGGUGGGCU